UACGGAGGGUGCGAGCGUUGUCCGGAAUCACUGGGCGUAAAGGGCGCGUAGGUGGCGCGAGAAGUCAACGGUGAAAGCUCGUCGCUCAACGACGAGUCGGCCGUCGAUACUCGUCGCGCUGGAGCAUUGUAGAGGCUCAUGGAAUUCCGGGUGUAGCGGUGGAAUGCGUAGAGAGUCCGGAAGAACACCGGUGGCGAAGGCGGUGAAGCUGG
rnacentral:rRNA from 1 species